GAUGAACGCUGGCGGCGUGCCUAAUACAUGCAAGUCGAGCGAACAGAUGAGGAGCUUGCUCCUCUGACGUUAGCGGCGGACGGGUGAGUAACACGUGGAUAACCUACCUAUAAGACUGGGAUAACUACGGGAAACCGGAGCUAAUACCGGAUAAUAUAUUGAACCGCAUGGUUCAAUAGUGAAAGACGGUUUUGCUGUCACUUAUAGAUGGAUCCGCGCCGCAUUAGCUAGUUGGUAAGGUAACGGCUUACCAAGGCAACGAUGCGUAGCCGACCUGAGAGGGUGAUCGGCCACACUGGAACUGAGACACGGUCCAGACUCCUACGGGAGGCAGCAGUAGGGAAUCUUCCGCAAUGGGCGAAAGCCUGACGGAGCAACGCCGCGUGAGUGAUGAAGGUCUUCGGAUCGUAAAACUCUGUUAUUAGGGAAGAACAAAUGUGUAAGUAGCUAUGCACGUCUUGACGGUACCUAAUCAGAAAGCCACGGCUAACUACGUG
rnacentral:rRNA from 1 species